rnacentral:rRNA from 1 species
UCGAGAAUUUUUCUCAAUGGGGGAAACCCUGAAGGAGCGACGCCGCGUGGAGGAUGAAGGCUUUCGGGUUGUAAACUCCUGUCAUUUGGGAACAAGUUGCCCACGUUAACUGCGUGGGCAUUGAUAGUACCAGAAGAGGAAGGGACGGCUAACUCUGUGCCAGCAGCCGCGGUAAUACAGAGGUCCCAAGCGUUGUUCGGAUUCAUUGGGCGUAAAGGGUGCGUAGGUGGCGCUGUAAGUCGGGUGUGAAAUUUCGAGGCUUAACCUCGAAACUGCAUUCGAUACUGCGGUGCUUGAGGACUGGAGAGGAGACUGGAAUUCAUGGUGUAGCAGUGAAAUGCGUAGAGAUCAUGAGGAAGACCAGUGGCGAAGGCGGGUCUCUGGACAGUUCCUGACACUGAGGCACGAAGGCCAGGGGAGCAAACGG